GCUUAGCCCUGAUUGAAACGAUAUCCUUUUUGCUUUUUCUGCAAAAAGAUAAAGUGUAAAGCAGGAAAUAGC
rnacentral:sRNA from 1 species